AUCCUGGCUUAGGACGAACGCUGGCGGCGUGCCUAAUACAUGCAAGUCGAACGGUCUUUCUAUGGAAGCUUGCUUCCACUGAGAAGAUAGUGGCGAACGGGUGAGUAACACGUGGGGUAACCUGCCCAUAAGAGGGGGGAUAACAUCCGGAAACGGAUGCUAAUACCGCAUAGUUUUCUUGAUCGCAUGAUCGGGAAAGGAAAGACGGCCUUUGUGCUGUCGCUUAUGGAUGGACCCGCGGCGUAUUAGUUAGUUGGUGAGGUAACGGCUCACCAAGACGAUGAUACGUAGCCGACCUGAGAGGGUGAUCGGCCACAUUGGGACUGAGACACGGCCCAAACUCCUACGGGAGGCAGCAGUAGGGAAUCUUCCGCAAUGGACGAAAGUCUGACGGAGCAACGCCGCGUGAGUGAAAGAAGGUUUUCGGAUCGUAAAACUCUGUUGUCAGAGAAGAACAAGUUGGAGAGUAACUGCUCCAGCCUUGACGGUAUCUGACCAGAAAGCCACGGCUAACUACGUGCCAGCCGCCGC
rnacentral:rRNA from 1 species